rnacentral:rRNA from 1 species
AUACAGAGGGUGCGAGCGUUAAUCGGAAUUACUGGGCGUAAAGCGCGCGUAGGCGGCUUAUUAAGUCAGAUGUGAAAUCCCCGGGCUCAACCUGGGAACUGCAUCUGAUACUGGUAAGCUAGAGUUUUGGAGAGGGAAGUAGAAUUUCAGGUGUAGCGGUGAAAUGUAUAGAGAUCUGAAGGAAUACCAGUGGCGAAGGCGACUUCCUGGCCAAAAACUGACGCUGAGGUGCGAAAGCGUGGGUAGCAAACGGGAUUAGAAACCCUAGUAGUCC